rnacentral:rRNA from 1 species
CACGUAGGGGGCAAGCGUUGUCCGGAUUUAUUGGGCGUAAAGAGCUCGUAGGCGGCUCAGUAAGUCAGGUGUGAAACCUCCAGGCUCAACCUGGAGACGCCACCUGAUACUGCUGUGGCUAGAGUCCGGUAGGGGAGCGUGGAAUUCCUGGUGUAGCGGUGAAAUGCGCAGAUAUCAGGAAGAACACCCGUGGCGAGGGCGGCUUUCUGGGACGGUACUGACGCUGAGACGCGAAAGCGUGGGGAGCGAACGGG